rnacentral:ncRNA from 1 species
CCGGUGACAGGUGGUGCAUGGUUGUCGUCAGCUCGAGACGUGAGAUGUUGGGUUAAGUCCCGCAACGAGCGCAACCCCUAUCUUCAGUAGCCAGCGGUAAGGCCGGGCACUCUGGAGAGACUGCCAGGGAUAACCUGGAGGAAGGUGGGGAUGACGUCAAAUCAUCAUGCCCCUUAUGAGCAGGGCUACACACGUGCUACAAUGGCGUAAACAAAGGGAAGCGAACCCGCGAGGGUGGGCAAAUCCCAAAAAUAACGUCUCAGUUCGGAUUGUAGUCUGCAACUCGACUACAUGAAGCUGGAAUCGCUAGUAAUCGCGAAUCAGAAUGUCGCGGUGAAUACGUUCCCGGGUCUUGUACACACCGCCCGUCACACCAUGGGAGUCAGUAACGCCCGAAGUCAGUGACCCAACCGUAAGGAGGGAGCUGCCGAAGGUGGGACCGAUAACUGGGGUGAAGUCGUAACAAGGUAGCCGUAUCGGAAGGUGCGGCUGGAUCACCUCCUUU